ensembl:Y_RNA Y_RNA Y RNA
GGCUGGUCCAAAGGUAGCGGGUUAUCUCAAUUGAUCGUUCACCGUCAGUUAGAUUGAUCUCCUUGUUCGCUCUUCCCCCCCUUCCCACUACUGCCCUUGAUUAACCUUUG